GAUGAACGCUGGCGGCGUGCCUAAUACAUGCAAGUCGAGCGAACAGACGAGGAGCUUGCUCCUCUGACGUUAGCGGCGGACGGGUGAGUAACACGUGGAUAACCUACCUAUAAGACUGGGAUAACUUCGGGAACCCGGAGAUAAUACCGGAUAAUAUAUUGAACCGCAUGGUUCAAUAGUGAAAGACGGUUUUGCUGUCACUUAUAGAUGGAUCCGCGCCGCAUUAGCUAGUUGGUAAGGUAACGGCCUACCAAGGCAACGAUGCGUAGCUGAUCUGAGAGGAUGAUCGGCCACACUGGAACUGAGACACGGUCCAGACUCCUACGGGAGGCAGCAGUAGGGAAUCUUCCGCAAUGGGCGAAAGCCUGACGGAGCAACGCCGCGUGAGUGAUGAAGGUCUUCGGAUCGUAAAACUCUGUUAUUAGGGAAGAACAAAUGUGUAAGUAACUAUGCACGUCUUGACGGUACCUAAUCAGAAAGCCACGGCUAACUACGUG
rnacentral:rRNA from 1 species